CUUAUUUUCACGUCCUCAAUCCACCACAGAGCCCAAAGAACUGCCAGUAGCUCUGUUGUAAAGACAGAACUUCCGUCUGUAAUUCUCCUGCUAAUCCUAAAGUCCAGUUGAGCUAUAACUUAUACACCCCAAAACCUGCUCUCCCACUCUCUGGUUCCCUGGCACCAUCUGUAAAAAUUUUCAGAUAUGAUCCCUUCCCACUGUUCAGAUAUUGUUCCAAUUUUAGAGCAGUCAUGUAUUUGUUCUUUUCUUGUAAAAAAAAAGUUAAAUCAAUAUUCAGUUCAUCAUCCCCUUCAUAUUUCAGCAUCAUUUGGUGGCAAAACUUGUGAAAAGUAAAAGGACCGUUGAUGUCGCGUAUCAAACUUCUAUGGACCUUGAACCAGCCAUCCUGGUGAUGCAUCACUCCAUGAAACCUCAUCCCACCAUCACUGCCACGCUGCUAGAGGGGGAGCAGCGUCUGGCUGCUCCGCUACCUCACCCCCUCCAUCUACACAGACUGAAUGUUUCUGUCUCGGUUCAGUUCCCAGAUGAGACGCUGUGGAGCGUUUAGCUGCUCAACAUGAUCGUAGCUGUCAGACUCCACACAGUUUAGUCUCUAGACUGGGAGACCUUCGAACAGUACAGCACCUGGCAGCUGUUCCUGGCCCACAGCAUCCCCCUGCAGACCAUCAUCUCCAUCCUGCAGUACCUUAAAUUUAAAGAACACCAAGGCCUUGUCCUGUCUGCUGCUGCUCUGCAGAGAGAAGCCCAGUGAGGAGAUGGUGAAGAUUUUCCUGAGUUGUCCCUGUCACCCCGAGGACCAGUUCAGCACCAGCAUCCUGAGACACUGGGCGUUCAAUCACGACAACACGCUGAGAGAAUGCAUCAAGGCCCAGCUGGUCGAGAAUAGGGAUGCAACAAUUACAGAUUUUGUUGGUUCAGCGACCUGUUCGCCCUGGAAGGAGUACGAGGACUCCCAGACCAAGCCUCCCAACUUCCACCUUAAGGCUCCGGCCUCCUCCUCGCUCACAGAAAGGAGAGCGCCUCCAGCAGAGCCUCAGUAUGUAACUCCACCUGCUCCUGAAUCUGCGUCUCGUUCUUUGAUUGGUCUGUUUCAAAACCACACGGAAAUUUGAUAUUUAAUGUGUCUGAUUUGUGAAACCAGGAAGCAGCUCUGUGUCUUCACCAAGCAGGAACCUCCAGGUUUGAAAAGUGAAACCUCAAACCUGCAUUCUCUCUAACAGCCAGCAGGGGGCGACUCCACUUGAUCGUAUAGAAGUCUAUAGAAAAUGUGGCUACUUCUCAGCUGAUUUAUUACCUCAGUAAACACUUUGCUAAUGAGUUUAUUGUCUCAGUCGCUAGUCUUCUUCAAAACAGCAUGAUGGUCACUUAGUAAAUUAUAGUCCCAUUUAGAGGAAAAUGACCAGAAAGCAGGGGAGGCUUUAGGGCGGGGCUACCUUGUGAUUGACAAGUCACUAUGUGUGACCCAAAUAUGGUACCCCAUGGAUGAUUCAGUCUGUGUUCAGGACGGAGCUGAACACCACUUUUCUCUCAGCUGGUAGGCUGGAAUAAAAUACAGCUGCUCGUUACUUGCUAUAAAUUGAACUAAAAGACUUUCUGUUAGCUUCCUGCUCAGCUUCCAGUCUGAAAGGGAGAUGUUUAACCUGUUUCACUUCUCCAGCCGUUCGGAAACAGACUUUUGUUCUGGAGAAGCUGAAGCAUUUAUUACCUGACACACCGACUCCAUAUUUUUUUAGUGCCAGAAUAUUUUCCUCCUGAGAUUCACUGUCACUCGGACAAUCGCUCAAAAUUUAAGGUCUUAAAUUCACUGAAGUUUCUGUUCUAAGUCUUAAAUAAUUUUAAACGGGUAUUUAUUUUCCAACGUCCAUGUAACACUACCUCUAAUGCUCAUUGAAAUGCAGUUGUCAGGUUUCUAGCUCUGUCCUCUACUGUACAUCUUGAUACUUAAAAACAAAGGACAGUGUU